rnacentral:lncRNA from 1 species
AGGCUAAAGUUUGUAAUGUCUUAACAUGGAAAGCCCAUGUUAGUAGGUAGUGGCCCAUUCUCUCUGCAGGAGAAACAUAGGGCUGGUUGAACAAAUGCUGGUAGCAAUGAAUAAGGAAUGCAGUUUGAAAGAUUUAGCAUUGAGUAUAGCCUGCCUCCUCUUAAAAAGACUCUAUUGAAAGGGAAUAGUAGAACUCUACUGGAAGUGGUUUUCAGGUGAAAUUUGGAGAAAGGCAAUCAAAUGGAGAUUUAAAAAUUUUAACAAAGUUUUGUAAUUUUGGAAGUCAAGAACCAUUACAUU